rnacentral:rRNA from 1 species
GACGAACGCUGGCGGCGCGCCUAACACAUGCAAGUCGAACGAGCGAGAGAGAGCUUGCUUUCUCGAGCGAGUGGCGAACGGGUGAGUAACGCGUGAGGAACCUGCCUCAAAGAGGGGGACAACAGUUGGAAACGACUGCUAAUACCGCAUAAGCCCACGGUGCCGCAUGGCACAGAGGGAAAAGGAGCAAUCCGCUUUGAGAUGGCCUCGCGUCCGAUUAGCUAGUUGGUGAGGUAAUGGCCCACCAAGGCGACGAUCGGUAGCCGGACUGAGAGGUUGAACGGCCACAUUGGGACUGAGACACGGCCCAGACUCCUACGGGAGGCAGCAGUGGGGAAUAUUGCACAAUGGGGGAAACCCUGAUGCAGCGACGCCGCGUGGAGGAAGAAGGUCUUCGGAUUGUAGACUCCUGUUGUUGGGGAAGAUAAUGACGGUACCCAACAAGGAAGUGACGGCUAACUACGUG